GACGAACGCUGGCGGCGUGCUUAACACAUGCAAGUCGAACGGAGUGGCGAACGGGUGAGUAACACGUGGGUGAGCUGCCCUGCACUUCGGGAUAAGCCUGGGAAACUGGGUCUAAUACCGGAGAGUGUGGGAUGGGCCGGGGGCCUAUCGGCUUGUUGGUGGGGUAAUGGCAUGCCAAGGCGGCGCCGGGUAGCCGGCCUGAGAGGGUGGACGGCCUCAUUGGGACUGCGAGACGGCGCAGACGCGUACGUUGGGCAGCAGGGGGGAACAUUGCACAGCCGGCGGACGUGUGUUGCAGCGACGCUGCGGGGGGGAUGUCGGCCUUCGGGUUGGAAACGCCUUUCACCAUCUACGCGGUAGAUGGAGAAGAAGCACCGGCUAACUCCGUGCCAGCAGCCGCGGUAAUUC
rnacentral:rRNA from 1 species